ACAUAUCUCUCUCCAUUCGUAGAAGCACCAAAACACUUCUUCACAUCUCUCUUCCUCUCUGUCUCUCGAGAUACCACAAAAAACCAGAUCGAACUCCAUCACUAAAACCAAGUUCUUCUACGAACUUCAUCACCAUAUCUCUGUAUCUCUCAAUUUCGUGCAGAUACAGUGAGUUUGGGUUUGAUUCUACAAACUUCAUCUGGUACUGUCAGGUUUCGAGUUUGAUUUUUCUUAUUCUCUACGAACUCCAUAAUCUUUCGAUGCAUCUUUGUUGGUACAAGUUUCUCAAAUUUGAUAGCAGAUGGAGUGGAAAUUAUGCUGAUCUACUCGGUCUGAAGGUGGAGACAUGGGAUAGUAAUGAAAGCAAGUUCAAUAAUGUUAUUCCAGCUGGUGAACAAAGUGAAGUAUUAGGAUACAAUGACAUUCCACCUAUAAGGGAAAAUGGAAGGCAUCUAUGAUCGACAACCAAGGAUGGAAGAAGCAAUUCCAAAUGAUAGUGGAGAAAGGAAAUCUUAUGUUAAGAAGAGAUUGCCAGUGGAUUUAUUGGUUUUUCACAUGGACCUAUUGGAUUUGAAAAUUUUGUUUAUGGUAUCAGUCAUGUGACAAUUAUGAUGGUGCUAUUAAACUGAAGAUCUCUGAAGUUGAACAUCCGCCUGCUAAGCUAAGAGUUGGCUGAGAUUUAAGAUCGAAAAGCUGGGGAUGAGACUUCUUCUGUUGUAAUUGUUGCUGCAGAAUCGCCCGAGGAUUUGGGGAAAUGUCUUGUGGCUGGGGAUCCACUUAUACUGAAUAAUCUUAUGCUUGUGAAAACAAAUAAGGCUUGAAGUAGCACUACUGCUUGUUGUUUCGUAGCUUAUGGUUUAUUUUUUUAGGUGAAAUAUACUAUCCAAGUUUCUUCGUUUGUUGUUUCGUAGCUUAUGGUAGAUCACUGAUAGCUGGUUGACCUGUAUGUGCUGAUGAUAUUUAUUUACUGCAAGGCCAGUUAGGAAUUAGGAUGGCCUGCCAAAUCUUGCUCUUGCAUUUGAUGGUUUAGCACACUCAGAUCAGUAUUUUUUAAAACAACUUGUAAACUGGAAGCCUAUGUUUGCAGAUACUACACAGACCCAUAUGGCACAUUUUGCAAUGUCAUAUAAAAGCAAUCAGAUCAGGUUCUGAGGGAGAUGACAGUUAUUUGCAGGAUCAAUUCAACAAGGUAUCUUUAUCACGUUGCAAACUGUUCAAUGAGUCGACAGCUCUUUGCAGGAUCAAAUUCAACAAGGUCUUUGGACCCAAUAAUUGGUGAAAUAAGCUUGUGGGUUCAAAGGUCUUGUAUAUGGUGGUAAGUAGAUUACUAUCUCAGCACAGACAUUAUCUUGGGGGCUUGUCUACAGUACGUUUUCUUAGGGACGGCAUUUGAAUUCGCUUCAGUCGAGAUACUAAUGUAGUUCAAAUUUGAAGCAAGUAGGGAGACAAACACGUCGAUCUAUAGUUUGUGAGGCGGCUUCAGCAAGGAGACAUUGAAGCCUACAUGGUCAUCUUGGUUAGUUUGCACUCAUUGUAAGAAAGCUUUAUCAUUUUACUUACUUUGUCAGGAGUUUUGGUUGUUUUUUUGCCCAAGUGUAAACUGGAUUCAAAUGUUAAUAAAGCAUUACAUCUUCUUUUUUUUGUGUGUAAUUUUGAACCUAGUGAAUCAAUGAAUGUGAAAUGGAAGGAUUAUUUGGA